rnacentral:rRNA from 1 species
UACAGAGGUCUCAAGCGUUGUUCGGAUUCAUUGGGCGUAAAGGGCGCGUAGGCGGGCUGUCAAGUCUGGGGUGAAAUGCUGCGGCUCAACCGUAGAACUGCCUUAGAUACUGACGGCCUCGAGGAAGGUAGGGGCAUGCGGAACUGUAGGUGGAGCGGUGAAAUGCGUUGAUAUCUACAGGAACUCCGGUGGCGAAAGCGGCGUGCUGGACCUUUUCUGACGCUGAGGCGCGAAAGCUAGGGGAGCAAACGGG